CUGGUGCUGCCACAGGGGAGAGAUCAGCAGCAGCCCAGGAUUUUUUACAGUGUGCCUCUUCCGUGGUGUAAGAGCACCCAGGCUGAUGUCUGGCCCCAGAGUACAACAGAUAAUCAAAUCCUGAUGAGACAAGAGAGAAGGGGUCCAUGAAGCACUGAGGACAUCGCUGUCAUCACACAAGAAUCUGCCUGGAGAUGAAGAUUCUGUUCUCAGCUAUUUUGGUUUUAGCAGGUGCUUGGGGAAGAGGAGACAAGAAAUGCAAGGAUGGUUUUGGAAGGGCACCUUAUUUGCUUUGUUGUUGGGGAGAUCAGACAUCCAAAAAGAUGGCUACACACAUCUACCCUUGACACCCAGGGAAAUGCUCACUUUGGGUUUGAAGAUGGGAGAGUCACCAGCAUCAUCCUCAGGAUCAUCAUCAACACAUGUGGGACUUUGAGCCUCCUUCAUAAAAGCCAGCUCCAACACCAACCUCAUGGACACCCCUGGCAGCAAAUGGAGAAGCCUGUGAUUCCUCCCUCUUGAAAUGACUCC